rnacentral:rRNA from 1 species
UACGAGGGGUGCAAACGUUGCUCGGAAUCAUUGGGCGUAAAGCGCACGUAGGCGGCUUCGCAAGUCGGAUGUGAAAUCCCUAGGCUCAACCAAGGACGUGCAUCCGAAACUGCAAAGCUUGAGUACAGAAGAGGAUCGCGGAAUUCCCGGUGUAGAGGUGAAAUUCGUAGAUAUCGGGAGGAACACCAGUGGCGAAGGCGGCGAUCUGGGCUGAUACUGACGCUGAGGAGCGAAAGCGUGGGGAGCGAACAGG